AUCCAGGUUGACGAGUCCUAAAUAGGACGAAACGCUCGUCUUUGAU
rnacentral:hammerhead_ribozyme from 1 species